CAUAAACUUUUAGCUUUUGUACAUCUAUUUGUAAACGAUGCUGAAUAUCACAAAAAAGAAGGUUUAGCUAACUAAUAAUUUUUGCUUCAAUGGAUUGUAUAUAGAAGAUGAUUAUAGUCAAGCUUUGGAAAACAUUAUCACAAUAGAAUAUUAUGGCUUGCGUGACGACGAUUUUGGAAGCUGCUUUGUUGCCAUCUUUGCCCGCUAAAGAACUUCAAGGCAUCGGCCGCUCUCCUCAUCCUUCUCAUCAAAGUCAGUUCCUUUUCUACUCUCAUUCUUUAAUUAUUAUCCUCUUCGUCUUUCAAUUAAAAUUUUUGAGAACAACAAUGCCCAAUUAGGAAAAGCCAAUUUCAUCUUCUAGGAUUUUGCUUUGUGUUAUUUUAUAUUACUUGUGAAUAAUUAUUAGUUGGAAGUCUUGUUUAGUGUAGAAAAGCAAUGACUUCUUUUAGUAAUGAUAGUUUGGAAGUUGUGUUUGUUUAUGUGUUGGAA